GGCUACAAUCAUACUAGCACUAUUGCACCGGAUCCCAUCAGAACGCCACAGUUAAGCGUGCUUAGGCGAGAGUAGUACUGGGAUGGGUGACCUCCUGGGAAGUCCUCCCGUUGCACCCC
rnacentral:rRNA from 1 species